CAGCCGCCGCGGUAACACGUAGGUGGCAAGCGUUGUCCGGAAUUAUUGGGCGUAAAGCGCGCGCAGGUGGUUUAAUAAGUCUGAUGUGAAAGCUCACGGCUCAACCGUGGAGGGUCAUUGGAAACUGUUAAACUUGAGUGCAGGAGAGAAAAGUGGAAUUCCUAGUGUAGCGGUGAAAUGCGUAGAGAUUAGGAGGAACACCAGUGGCGAAGGCGGCUUUUUGGCCUGUAACUGACACUGAGGCGCGAAAGCGUGGGGAGCAAACAGGAUUAGAGACCCCAGUAGUCCCUGUCUCUUAUAC
rnacentral:rRNA from 1 species